UACGGAGGGUGCAAACGUUGCUCGGAAUCAUUGGGCGUAAAGCGCACGUAGGCGGCCUGUUAAGUCGGAUGUGAAAUCCCUCGGCUCAACCGAGGAAGUGCAUUCGAAACUGGCGGGCUCGAAUAUGGAAGAGGGUCGCGGAAUUCCCGGUGUAGAGGUGAAAUUCGUAGAUAUCGGGAGGAACACCAGUGGCGAAGGCGGCGACCUGGGCCAAUAUUGACGCUGAGGUGCGAAAGCGUGGGGAGCAAACAGG
rnacentral:rRNA from 1 species